CCCGCGCUUCUUGCUUUCCACAAUUUCUUGCCCCGUAGAAGAGUACCAUAUGCCAGGCAAAGGUAUGGGCCGAGUUUCAAAUGUUAAGAAUGCCUUGGCAUUCUGAACUAAGCACGAGCUUUCCAGACGUAUGGCGCAAAGAGAAUCAUUUUAAUGUGUUAUGAUUUCUAAACAUCCGAAUGAUGUUUAUACAUUAAAUCCCAAAAAUUGUUAACUUAGCGCAAAAACAGAAACAUCUUGCUAUAUCGAAGACUCCAAGAACGGUUGGCCUUGGUAAACAUGUCUGAUUUUUGAUUAAUAUACAGUUUUGGACGAAAAUAAACAGCAAAAUGCAGGCAUUGCGCUUAUUGGAAUUGCCUGUGCAGAAAUACGUGUAAUUGUCCUUAGCUUGCUUUACUUUCCGCCGUCGUUAAUAAAUCGUUUUUGGCAAUUGUCCCAAGUCAGCAUCA